UCCCCUGUAGCUCAAUGGCAGAGCGCCCGGCUGUUAACCGGUAGGUUGGAGGUUCGAAUCCUCCCGGGGGAGCCA
rnacentral:tRNA from 1 species